GUUGGUAUAGCUCAGUGGUAGAGCGCGUGCUUAGCAAGCACGAGGUCCUGGGUUCAAUCCCCAGUACCUCCC
rnacentral:tRNA from 1 species